rnacentral:rRNA from 1 species
GACGAACGCUGGCGGCGUGCUUAACACAUGCAAGUCGAACGGAAAGGCCCUGCUUUUGUGGGGUGCUCGAGUGGCGAACGGGUGAGUAACACGUGAGUAACCUGCCCUUGACUUUGGGAUAACUUCAGGAAACUGGGGCUAAUACCGGAUAGGGGCUCCUGCUGCAUGGUGGGGGUUGGAAAGUUUCGGCGGUUGGGGAUGGACUCGCGGCUUAUCAGCUUGUUGGUGGGGUAGUGGCUUACCAAGGCUUUGACGGGUAGCCGGCCUGGGAGGGUGACCGGCCACAUUGGGACUGAGAUACGGCCCAGACUCCUACGGGAGGCAGCAGUGGGGAAUAUUGCACAAUGGGCGGAAGCCUGAUGCAGCAACGCCGCGUGCGGGAUGACGGCCUUCGGGUUGUAAACCGCUUUCGCCUGUGACGAAGCGUGAGUGACGGUAAUGGGUAAAGAAGCACCGGCUAACUACGUG